GUGCUUUGCCCAAUGCGUGAAUCUGAUCUACAAAGAAUGCUGCAGGAUGAAUGCAAAAUUUAGAAAAUUCCAAGGCGCUCAUCUUCACUCAAUCCCAGAGUGUCAGAGGAAAAGAAGAAAUUAUAGAGAAAAAAACUUCUUGAUCUGGUAAAGAAUAAAGAUAACACAAACACAGAAGCUACCCUGAAACGGUUAGAAAAGCACAUGUUAGAAAUCAAGGAGGCCUUGAAGAAUUUGUAAGUUGCCAAGUCCCUUGUAAGCUGCAGUUCCCGAAGUACAAGUCAUCUGCUUUCCAGGAGCUCGUGCCCCCAUCCACCCCUGCCGACCCCACUUUCUGGAAGCAGCCACAGGUUUGGGGCCAGGCUUCUGUCCGUAUAGCAGAAUUUAAAGGAGCUUCUUCCUCUAAUCCCAGAAUUCUGGAGGCAGAGGCAGGAGGUGGUCUCGAGUUCAAGGCCAGCCUGGUCUACAUAGCGAGACCCUGUCUCAAAAACACGAAAUAAAACAAUAAAUAUGAGCUUCUUGUCCAGCAAAAGAUCCCCUGGCACCCAUCAAAAGUGCUAGAAACUUCCAUGAAUAGUGUCUGUGUGAAGCACCUUUUGGUUACCAGAAGAAAUGCUAGAGAUAAUCAAUUUAGAAAGUGAAGUUUCUUUUGGAUCACAGUUUUGGAAGUUUCAGUCCCUAAUCAGUUGGCUCCAUUGUUUUGGAACCUGUGGUAAACAGCAUAUGGCGGUAGGUGGAGGAGACAGAGCAAAAGUGCUCAGUUCAGGCACAAGAAUAAAAGCACAGAGGAAGUCAAGGAGUCCCACAAUCCCGUGGGGCCCACCCCCCAGGACCUCGAGGGCUCCCGCCAGGCCCAGCCUCUUAGAGGGCUCACGACCUCCCGGAGCAUCACUGCAGAGCUGGCCUGUAGCACGCGGGCCUUCAGAGGACGUUCCAGAUCCCAGCUUCACCGCACUUGCUGAAUGUUCAAGAAGAAAUUCAGAUCCAACUUCAAGUGCUCUCCACUCAGUGAAGCUGUGGGAAUCCGCUCGUACUGUCGGAAGCUGGGCAGGAGGGCGCUAGGACGUGGAGAGUCCAGGGAGCGCGGGGCUAGGGUACAGGAGGGGAAAGGAGAGAGUGGACCCUGCCGCAGGGAAGUCGGUGAAUUUUCUCUGGACUGACGGGAUGCCAGGUGGCCCUGCACCAAGCUGUGCGGCAGGAGGAGGAGGAACUUCUCGAUGAGAGGGCUCCAAGUUAAGGCUGGCCAGAUGCAGUGGCGCAGGCCUGGAAUCCUAGCCCUCAGCCAACGAAGCAGUGGCAUCGGUGCAAGUUCAAGGCCAGCCUGGAACUACACAGUGAGACCCUGUCUCAAAAAAAAUAAAUAAAAAGGAGCUAAGGCUGGAAAGACGAGCAGGGUUGACGAGGAGGGCAAGGAAGGGCUAACCGUCCAGCUCUUUCUCUUCAGUCCCUGGCUGAGCUCAGACCCGCCACGACCCACACAGGAGCAAAUCAAGGAGAUGAAGGAGGAGGAGCUCUCGGGAGCCCCACGGACCCCGCUGAAGCAGAGCGAAUUAGUGAACUUUAUAAAGGAGCCUAUCACCGGUCUCCAGUGGCCAUAGAAGUAUUCAGUAAGCCCCAGGCCAAAAGCAUCAAAACAGUGAGAAAGCAUUUCCACAAGGAGAUCAGCCACCUGAGAGAGUUUGAUUCUCCCAACAUCCUGCACAUACUCAGGAUUUGCAUUGUUGAAAGAGGUGUGGCGGUCCAGCCGUCGCAACACGAACGUGCCUG